AGCCUACGGGGGGCAGCAGUGAGGAAUAUUGGUCAAUGGGCGGGAGCCUGAACCAGCCAAGUCGCGUGAGGGAAGACGGUCCUACGGAUUGUAAACCUCUUUUGCCGGGGAGCAACGGGGUCCUUGCGAGGGCCCGAUGAGAGUACCCGGAGAAAAAGCAUCGGCUAACUCCGUGCCAGCAGCCGCUGUAAUACGGAGGAUGCGAGCGUUAUCCGGAUUGAUUGGGUUUAAAGGGUGCGUAGGCGUGCUGGUAAGGCAGCGGUACAAUGUCG
rnacentral:rRNA from 1 species